UUAGUAUUCGAAAAAGUAAGAGGAUAUAUUUUUGCUUUUCCCAGCAUGGAAACAUUUUUAUUAGCUGACAAUAGUGUGGAAUCUGGAACAUGAUGCCCAAAAGUUCUUCGCCUUUACCCUGAGUCGCCUGUAUCAGUUCAUACCGAGUCUUCCUUUGAGGUGCAUCAGGAUCCCACCUCUCAGCUCAUAGGCAGACGCUCAGCAGUUUUUCCCAUCUGUGGACCUCAAGAUGGAGAACGCUCCUGGUUCUUUGGAUCCUGGGGUUAGCUGGUGGUGGAAGGAGCACUGAUGAACCAGAAAUUCUUUAGUAAUGCCAGUGAAGAGAUUAAAACUUUGCAGAAGAUGACCAAGAACAGGGAGAACAAGAUUGGUGAAAGCUGGAAAUGCUUCUGGUGGUAGGCAAAUAUGCAAAGGAGACAUGUCUCAGCAGAAACGUGAUAUGGGAGACCAGUGAGGAGGCUGCAGAAAUAGUUUAAUGACUGAGAACCUGGGACUUAAUGGU